GACUAACGAUGUGGUGGUUGACUAACGGAUGUGGUGGUUGACUAACGGAUGUGGUGGUUGACUAACGAUGUGGUGGUUGACUAACGGAUGUGGUGGUUGACUAA